rnacentral:rRNA from 1 species
GAUGAACGCUGGCGGCGUGCCUAAUACAUGCAAGUCGAGCGAACGGACGAGAAGCUUGCUUCUCUGAUGUUAGCGGCGGACGGGUGAGUAACACGUGGAUAACCUACCUAUAAGACUGGGAUAACUUCGGGAAACCGGAGCUAAUACCGGAUAAUAUUUUGAACCGCAUGGUUCAAAAGUGAAAGACGGUCUUGCUGUCACUUAUAGAUGGAUCCGCGCUGCAUUAGCUAGUGGGUAAGGUAACGGCUUACCAAGGCAACGAUGCAUAGCCGACCUGAGAGGGUGAUCGGCCACACUGGAACUGAGACACGGUCCAGACUCCUACGGGAGGCAGCAGUAGGGAAUCUUCCGCAAUGGGCGAAAGCCUGACGGAGCAAUGCCGCGUGAGUGAUGAAGGUCUUCGGAUCGUAAAGCUCUGUUAUUAGGGAAGAACAUAUGUGUAAGUAACUCUGCACAUCUUGACGGUACCUAAUCAGAAAGCCCCGGCUAACUACGUG